rnacentral:rRNA from 1 species
AAACCAGCACCUCAAGUGGUCAGGAGGAUUAUUGGGCCUAAAGCAUCCGUAGCCUGUUCUAUAAGUUUCCGGUUAAAUCCACUAGCUCAACUAGUGGGCUGCCGAAAAUACUGUAGAACUAGGGAGUGGGAGAGGUAGACGGUAUUCGGUAGGAAGGGGUAAAAUCCUUUGAUCUAUUGAGGACCACCUGUGGCGAAGGCGGUCUACCAGAACACGUUCGACGGUGAGGGAUGAAAGCUGGGGGAGCAAACCGGAUUAGAAACCCGAGUAGUCC